GGGCUGGGCCUGGGCUGAGAAACCCAGACACCGCAGGUCUCUCCUGGGGAAAGGGUGGAAGUUCCCGGAGGAGAAUCCUGGGCCUGGCGCUGGGCAAAAGGCUAGGUUAAAGGGAUCAGAUACUUCUCUGGAUUUACAACGGCUUUUCGGGAAAGAGCAAUGGACGGUGAGCACAUUCUGCAUCCUCCCUCUCCUCUCCCUUGCCUCUGGACUUCAGGGCUCCAUCCUGUCUUCCCAAUACCUUUCUCCGGAGGAUACGAAAAAGAAGCCCAUGCACUUCUUACCGGUUGACUAGACCCAAGAUGACUGG